rnacentral:sRNA from 12 species
UGAUUUGCUCAUAGAGCGUGAGCAACUAAAUAUAAAUAAAGCUCAAUUGACG